rnacentral:rRNA from 1 species
AUGCCUACGGGGGGCAGCAGUGAGGGAUAUUGGGCAAUGGGGAAAACCCUGACCCAGCGACGCCGCGUGAGGGAAGACGGUCUUCGGAUUGUAAACCUCUGUCUUUGGGGACGAAAAAGGACGGUACCCAAGGAGGAAGCUCCGGCUAACUACGUGCCAGCAGCCUCUUUAAUACUUAUGUAGCUAUCGUUGUCCGGAAUUACUGGGUGUAAAGGGAGCGUAGGCGUGAUUGCAAUUUGGAUGUGAAAACUGCGGGCUCAACCCGGAGCGUGCAUUCAAAACUGCGAUUCUUUAG